GACGAACGCUGGCGGCGUGCUUAACACAUGCAAGUCGAACGGAAAGGCCCUGCUUGCAGGGUACUCGAGUGGCGAACGGGUGAGUAACACGUGGGUGAUCUGCCCUGCACUUCGGGAUAAGCCUGGGAAACUGGGUCUAAUACCGGAUAGGAGCCAUUCUGAGUGUGAGGGGUGGAAAGAUUUUUCGGUUUAGGAUGAGCGCGCGGCCUAUUAGCUUGUUGGUGGGGUAAUGGCCUACCAAGGCGGCGACGGGUAGCCGGCCUGGGGGGGUGGACGGCCACAUUGGGGCUGGGGUUCGGCCCAGGCCUCCACCGGGGGCAGGAGGGGGGAAUUUUGCACAAUGGGGGCGAGCCUGAUGCAGCGACGCCGCGGGGGGGAUGGCGGCCUUCGGGUUGUAAACUCCUUUCGCUAGGGACGAAGCUUUGUGUGACGGUACCUAGAUAAGAAGCACCGGCUAACUACGUG
rnacentral:rRNA from 1 species